CCUACGGGCGGCAGCAGUCGGGAAUAUUGCGCAAUGGAGGAAACUCUGACGCAGUGACGCCGCGUAUAGGAAGAAGUUUUUCGGAAUGUAAACUAUUGUCGUUAGGGAAGAGAAAGGACAGUACUUAAGGAGGAUGCUCCGGCUAACUACGUGCCAGCAGCCGCGGUAAUACGUAGGGAGCGAGCGUGUUCCGGAAUUACUGGGUGGAACGGGUGCGUAGACGGGAAAACAAGUUAGUUGUGAAAUCCUUCGGCUUAACUGAGGAACUGCAAUUAAAACUAUGUUUCUUGAGGGCAGGAGAGGUAGGUGGAAUGCCUGGUGUAGCGGUGAAAUGCGUAGAUAUUAGGAGGAACACCAGUGGCGAAGGCGACUUACUAGACUGUAACUGACGUUGAGGCACGAAAGUGUGGGGAGCAAACAGGAUUAGAUACCCUUGUAGUC
rnacentral:rRNA from 1 species